rnacentral:rRNA from 1 species
UACAGAGGUCUCAAGCGUUGUUCGGAUUCAUUGGGCGUAAAGGGUGCGUAGGUGGCGCCGUAAGUCGGGUGUGAAAUUUCGGAGCUUAACUCCGAAACUGCAUUCGAUACUGCGGUGCUUGAGGACUGGAGAGGAGACUGGAAUUCAUGGUGUAGCAGUGAAAUGCGUAGAGAUCAUGAGGAAGACCAGUGGCGAAGGCGGCUUUCUGGACGGUAACUGACGCUGAGACGCGAAAGCGUGGGGAGCAAACAGG